rnacentral:lncRNA from 1 species
AUGCUCAAAAUUCUCCAAGCCAGGAUUCAGCAAUAUGUGAACCAGGAACUUCCUGAUGUUCAAGCUGGUUUUAGAAAAGGCAGAGGAACCAGAGAUCAAAUUGCCAACACCCGCUGGAUCAUGGAAGAAGCAAGAGAGUUCCAGAAAAACAUCUAUUUCUGCUUUAUUGACUAUGCCAAAGCCUUUGACUAUGUGGAUCACAAUCAACUGUGGAAAAUUCUGAGAGAGAUGGGAAUACCAGACCACCUGACCUGCCUCUUGAGAAAUCUGUAUGCAGGUCAGGAAGCAAUAGUUAGAAGUGGACAUAGAACAACAGACUGGUUUCAAAUAGGAAAAGGAGUCCAUCAAGGCUGUAUAUUGUCACCCUGCUUAUUUAACUUCUGUGAAGAGUACAUCAUGAGAAACGCUGGACUGGAAGAAACACAAGCUGAAACCAAGAUUGCCAGGAGAAAUAUCAAUAACCUCAGAUAUGCAGAUGAUACCACCCUUAUGGCAGAAAGUGAAGAGGAACUAAAAAGCCUCUUGAUGAAAGUGAAAGAGGAGAGUGAAAAAGUUGGCCUAAAGCUCAACAUUCAGAAAACGAAGAUCAUGGCAUCCAGUCCCAUCACUUCAUGGGAAAUAGAUGGGGAAACAGUGGAAACAGUGUCAGACUUUAUUUUUGGGGGCUCCAAAAUCACUGCAGAUGGUGAUUACAGCCAUGAAAUUAAAAGAUGCUUACUCCUUGGAAGGAAAGUUAUGACCAACCUAGAUAGCAUAUUCAAAAGCAGAGACAUUACUUUGCCGACUAAGGUCCGUCUAGUCAAGGCUAUGGUUUUUCCUGUGAUCAUGUAUGGAUGUGAGAGUUCGACUGUGAAGAAGGCUGAGUGCCGAAGAAUUGAUGCUUUUGAACUGUGGUGUUGGAGAAGACUCUUGAGAGUCCCUUGGACUACAAGGAGAUCCAACCAGGCCAUUCUAAAGGAGAUCGGUCCUGGGAUUUCUUUGGAAGGGAUGAUGCUAAAGCUGAAACUCCAGUACUUUGGCCACCUCAUGCAAAGAAUUGACUCAUUGGAAAAGACCCUGAUGCUGGGAGGGAUUGGGGGCAGGAGGAGAAGGGGACGACAGAGGAUGAGAUGGCUGGAUGGCAUCAUGGACUCGAUGGGCGUGAGUGUGAGUGAACUCCGGGAUUUGGUGAUGGACAAGGAGGCCUGGCAUGCUGCGAUUCAUGGGGUCGCAGAGUCAGACAUGACUGAGCGACUGAACUGA